UGAUCAUGUUGUUAGCAAACGGGAAACUAUAGGCUAAUGGGAAAUGUUUACGUUAUCCCCAUUUAGACUUUGCCUCAUGUUAUUCGAUUCUGGCUUACCACUGCAGGUUAUUUACACUGCCUAGUCGCCUACAGCCAUAUUUAGGGUUACCGAGGAAACGCGCAGAUGGUGGAGGGGACGGGGCAAGGAGGGGCAUUUUGUCAUCAGCUUGCAUUACAAUAGGUUGUAGAAAGAGACCUGUGGCAGCUGGAGUCCGACAUGUGUCUACUGGUUAAUUCCCCGUACCAACCAAACUCUCCUUUGUUCCGGCUUUCGUCAUUGUUUAAACACAGGCAGCUGUUAGGCACUAGGGUACCAGACAGACCUCUCCGCUCAUUGCAAGCAGACGCACUUCAUCGGGUGGCCCCAUUACACGAAAUCAAGGCAGGGCUCGAGACGAGCUCUUCAUGGAGCUAUGCUUGGUGAUACAGCAGCUGCGAGACCGGUGCAUUUUGGAUCUAUGGCCAAAGUGGCCAAACCCGCACCCCUGCUGGCACGUCCCCAUGAUGACUGUGGUUCCAUGGGGUCUUUGAUGGAUAGACAGAAGGAUGUAGGAGUAAGGGGUAUGUGUGCAAUAUAUCCACUCCCGUGGUCCCGUUUUCCCAUUUUUUUGUGAUUGAAUGUUUUUGGAAUUAGCUGCCUUAACAAGGGAAUACAUUUAUUUUGGAAAAACAUGAUACAUCUGCUGAUAUAUAUAUAUAUAUAAAAGCUACUUUAGUAAACCUCACAUCCCACAUCACAGGAUAUAUUUCAGCAGUCCGAAAGGCCAAUGGUACAGCACACCCUUGUAGGGUUUUUGGGGGCAAGUGCUCCAGGGGGUUGUGUUCCACUUCCUGCUGCUCCCUGCUCUGUGUUCCUUUCCAGAUAUGCUGAGGAGGAUACUGGAAAGAUGAGCCAGCCUACAGAGAGAUGAGUAAAGCUUAGUUAAAAGCAUGUCCUGACUGACUUCUUGACUCACAGGACUAUCUACAAAUAUGUUUUAGAAAAAGCAGGUAUGGGAUCGUUGAACAUCUUGCCAAGUUAUUCUAUUUCUUACUGCAUCCCAUUGCUCACUCACCCAGGAAAUGUUUUUUGGUACGUUUGUGCUUGAGGAUAAUACCUUUCCUAACCCACAACCACGUGACGAAGUUGUACUGCAAGACAGUAACUAGACCACUGCACCACUCAAUUAGUUGUCCAUGCGGUAAAUCGUUACCCAGCCUGAACUAGGACCGGGACCAAUGGCUUUCGCCCCCUGACUGAUGGGCUGCACUUCAUGGCUGCUGCUGGGGCACAGUCAAACCUCCAUCUGAAAUCUUUUUCUGUUAGAAAAAUUGUAUUUCUAUUUCAAUGAUGUGCCUCACCUUGCUCUGAUUACGUAGAUAUUUUACUUGACCUGCCUCAAAUGCAAGUACAGUUGAUUGCAAGUACAGUUGUUGGUGUGUCUGAAAUUGUAGUGUGCUUCAUGCCAUGUUGUUCAGGCCUUUGUUUGAUAGGACUAUGCCAUAAGAAGGACUCAUUAGAGUGGAGUUUUAGUCAUGGCUGUGGGAAGAUGAUUUGAUCAAGGGGUGCUGGCAAUGGCCGAGCGUGAGUCUGUGUGCAUCAGAUUAGAACGGAGCAUGCCCAUCUGCAGUAUUAACACGUCAACAUAAGGGCAAUGAAUGCCAAUGAUGAAUGAACGGAUGAUGUGCGCCAAUGGGCAUACAAACCACACACAGAUUGUUAGUGCUCAAACGUAAUUUUUUUUUGGGAAACUCGUCGGGGGUGUUGAGAAUGUGACACCCCAGCACCCCUACUUCCCAUGGCUAUGAUUAGUGGUGUCUGAUGCUUUGGUGUUUUGCAUUUCCUUCCCUGGAAUAUACUCUUUCCUUUUGGUUAUCUGUCCUUCUGUAAUAUAACUCUUAACACAUUCUAAAUCACUUCUACACUAACACUGCAGUCAACUAAAUCCCGGUCCAGAUACAUAAAAUGACACAAGACAUGAUCAGAUGAGAUUCAACUUGCUAGUUUUAGAAUGUUGGAUACCACAACACCUGAAGACAGUUGGCAAAAUUUUAAGAAGACAAUAUGUGAGAGCGUUUCCACUGUAACUUAAAAACAAAGUGGGAGCUGCGUGUUGAACUGUAGCCAUCAGGUGUCAUAAUGUACCAGAACAGAGUACACUAGCUAUGUAGAAAUAGCUAGCUAGUUAUCUGGUUGGCUAGCUAGUUGCUUGACUGAACACAGGAUACAAAUAUUUUCUGACUAAGUGGAUGUGUCUCAUCACAAUAAAAAAACAAGUUGGUUUUUGGAAAGACCGUCAUGUCUUAUGCAACUGAACUGGGCUUAAGACUGCUUUUCCUGACGUGGUCAGCACGGACCUUGCUCUUCUUCACCAUACUCACUUCCUCAUUCCUUUGACAUCUAACAUGACUAACCAAAUCUAGUCUGCUGUGAUGGCCUUCCUGCUAAUUUCAAUGAAAUGCUUCUAACCAAGCCAACAGGCUGCAUAGUGAUAACAAGUCUGUGCUGCUGGAGUGUAUUAUUUGUCAGCUUUAACAUUAUUGCUGUGUUGUGAGGAUGUUACAGUAGUGUCUGUAUAUCUGUGUAGCUUUGUUUGUUUUGGGUAUCUCACAGUCUCAUCACUUUUGUUAAGGUGGUUUCCGGAGGCUUGGUUUGUCUUGUAAAGCAUGUACUCGUAACUCUCAAUAACUGUACCUGGAGUACUGAACUAUCUAAGACUGGGACAAUUCUGGUUUGUUAACCUAGACUAACAGUGUAAAAAUCACUAACUUUUCCGGCUUUGCCUGAUUACAAGCAUCCUUAAACUAAUAGCCUGUGUUUGUGCCUGUAGGUGUGCUGUGCGUUAAUUCAUUUGGAGAUUUGUAAGGCCAUUACAAAGUUACAGUUAUAUGUAUAUAUUAUACAUAUAACACAUAUAACUGUAACUUUGUAUAUAUAUAUAUAGAAUGUUGUCAUUACUUCCCCUUUAGUCUAAAUAAGGAACUAUAUGCUGCUCGCCGUUGUUUUACCAAUUUCCAGGGCCCUUCUGCCCACUGUUGCUUGUACUAAAAAGAGCUGGGCAUUUUGUGACGUAAAACACUGCUUUAUUAUUCUGCCACGCUCCUUCGGCUCUGUUUAUUUUAUCUCUGUAGUGGCCUUUAGUCAUGAUUUCUACCCCAAUAGCAGAAAUGAUUUGGUUGGUUGAUUAGAUGAUGAGGACAGAGGUUACCUCCCAACUCUGACACCUGCUUCGUUGACAUUUUUUAAUGGUUAAGGUAAGGGUUAGGGUAUGGUUUAGGGGCGGGAAAAUAACUAAACCUUAAAUUCCCUCCAAGAGCAUGCAGCCCUUUUUAAUAUUCAAGCUCUGCCCUCACCGUUGAGGUAACCAAUAAAGUUACGUCUACCUUUGGGGAAGGGCUGCUUCCAGAACAAUAUUCAUGGAGAAAAACACCACCGUGCAAUAAUCUUCCCUGCCCCUAUAAAACCAAACUCUCAACUGUGAAGAGAUUUUUGGGCAUUCCUUGAUAUAUAUGCACUAACAAUAACCCUCUAAUAAACUCUAACAGUACUAAUGUCUGCUAACACACCUGUUGUUAAUUUUACUAACCUGUACAAUUGAUGUUGGCUGGCUUGUCAUUUUCUAACUCACAACUAACCUCUUGCUUUGUAAGAAACAAUCCUCUCCCAUUUCCUGAAAUCCUUCUCUUACCAGACAAGGAUCACCCUACGCUGUAACAAAAAUGUGUUUAUCUAUUUGUUAUAUUCUUAAGGAAAAUUAUGCUGAAAUGUUACUUUUGGCCCCCUGAAGUACAAGCUUGUUUCCAAAAAUGUUGGUACGCUGCAUAAAAUGUAUAUAACAACAGAAUGCAAUUCCCAAACGCUUACAGGCUGUGGUUAAAAGAAGAGUUGAUACAACACAGUGGUAAAGAUGACCAUGUCCCAAUUUAUUUGACACGUGUUGUUGGCAUCUAAUUCGAAAUGUGGCUAUUUUGUUCGAUGACAAAAGAAAAAUUCAGUUUCAACAUUUGCUAUGUUGUCGUGGUGCUCCAUUCUAUUGCAUAUGGUUUUACAUGACUUGCACGUCAUUGCAUUCUGUUGUUAUUUACAUUUUACACAGCGUCCCAACUUUUUUGUAAAUGGGGUUGUAUAUCGGUGAGAAUGAUUCCAGGAUCUGGGAUGAGAAGUAGAAAAAUCAAUAGAUUUAAAGAUGUCCGAUUAGCUCAUUGGGUUGAUCAUACACUAGUCCCCUGGGGGACAACUGAAAACAAUCUAUAUGUAAAUCCUACACCAGUUUAAGUAUGUUAAAAAAAAAAAUCUUACUUAAUAAUAAUUAGUGACAAAUGUGUGUCCCCCUGUCCGUUGUGUGGUCAACCUGUAAAAGGUGUUGAAACCAAGUGCUUGGUUUCCGUCCUGCAUUUCCUUUGUCCCAAGGCCAUUGUGCACAUGGGAAGUGUGUGGUAACAAGAUUAAGCCUGCAUAAACAUUUACCUGUAUUCUCUUAUUAGAUCAAACCUGCCUAAUACAUGAGUGGUGACUGAUGGUGUUAACAUCUUCUAACAAAAGUUAUGAGUCCUCUUUGGCCGUUGAUGCCUUGUUCUUACUAAUAUCCUGUAUCUUUUCUUAGACCUGAUGUGAGUUCAUUUGAACCAUUCUAACCAUGCUGCUGCCACUUAUCUAACCCUCACUCCAGUCUGCCCUUUGGUAAGAUCUAACAGCAUCUGAAGCCAUGCAGUAGUUUUUCUUUCUGAGUCACCAAGAGGACAGACAUCCCUGUGUUUUCACUUUAAUAACCUUCUCCUGAAAUGGAGUGAUAAAACACUAACUAUUGGGGCAUGAUAGCUCCAAACAAACUAACACACUAACACACUAACUAAUUAAAGAUGCACUCAGGAGGUUUUGUAUAAUUUCCGCCAGCAGUAAAAGUGGUUCUCAUGAGCCAAAACAGGUCCCUGUUUUUUGUUGUACUGCAUUAUCCAAUUAUGUACCAGAUGAACCUUUUGUUACAAAUGUUUUUUUGUUUUGUUUCAUUUGUACAUAUCCAAUUUAGUAACAUAGAAUUUGAAUUUGGUAUGCUUGAGAUCCUGGAAUGCAUCUUUAAUUAUCUAACAAACUAACUGAAAUGACUAAUCAUUUGUGCUGAGAGUUAUACAGUUCUUAGAUUUUGGUUCAUUGUGUGUGUGUGUGUGUGUGUGUGCAUGUGUUGGUGAGCUUGUGUUCAUUGAUCCUUAAACCGUGUGCAUGAACUGCGUGCGUGGGGAUGUUUGUUUGUAUCUGAGCACGUUUUCUACUGAGUAAUAUUAUGGCAUUAGAAAUGUUGUCCUCAUCUCAGUUUAGAACAAAUUUAUGCCAAAAAUGAGACCACAUAUUACCACAUAAAAAAACAAUUGAAGUAUUUUUGUGUCUAAAUUAGCAUUUGUCCUGAGUUAACAAUAACAUCAGUGUAGAAAAGGUCUGGCUUAGAUCCUCUAUGUCUUACUGGCGUAACUGAAUUAAAAAGAUAAAAUAAAACAUUGUUCUUGAAGAAAGUGAAAAUACCCAUAUUAUAUUUUAUUUCUGUUUUCUGUACUGCGUUCAUUAACAUGAUUUCAUAUUAUUUUUACUUUGGAAUAAACUGCUUUGAAAAGGG